rnacentral:miRNA from 1 species
UGGGUCUGUUUCAAGUAAUCCAGGAUAGGCUUGUUAAAGUGGGAAAAGCCUAUUUGGGAUGACUUGGUUCAGAAA